CCUACGGGAGGCAGCAGUAGGGAAUCUUCGGCAAUGGGGGCAACCCUGACCGAGCAACGCCGCGUGAGUGAAGAAGGUUUUCGGAUCGUAAAGCUCUGUUGUAAGAGAAGAACGAGUGUGAGAGUGGAAAGUUCACACUGUGACGGUAGCUUACCAGAAAGGGACGGCUAACUACGUGCCAGCAGCCGCGGUAAUACGUAGGUCCCGAGCGUUGUCCGGAUUUAUUGGGCGUAAAGCGAGCGCAGGCGGUUUGAUAAGUCUGAAGUUAAAGGCUGUGGCUCAACCAUAGUUCGCUUUGGAAACUGUCAAACUUGAGUGCAGAAGGGGAGAGUGGAAUUCCAUGUGUAGCGGUGAAAUGCGUAGAUAUAUGGAGGAACACCGGUGGCGAAAGCGGCUUUUUGGCCUGUAACUGACACUGAGGCGCGAAAGCGUGGGGAGCAAACAGGAUUAGAUACCCGAGUAGUC
rnacentral:rRNA from 1 species